rnacentral:rRNA from 1 species
AACGAACGCUGGCGGCAGGCUUAACACAUGCAAGUCGAGCGCGCAGCAAUGCGAGCGGCAGACGGGUGAGUAACGCGUGGGAACCUACCCUUUUCUACGGAAUAACGCAUGGAAACGUGUGCUAAUACCGUAUACGCCCUUCGGGGGAAAGAUUUAUCGGAGAAGGAUGGGCCCGCGUUGGAUUAGCUAGUUGGUGGGGUAAAGGCCUACCAAGGCGACGAUCCAUAGCUGGUCUGAGAGGAUGAUCAGCCACAUUGGGACUGAGACACGGCCCAAACUCCUACGGGAGGCAGCAGUGGGGAAUAUUGGACAAUGGGCGCAAGCCUGAUCCAGCCAUGCCGCGUGAGUGAUGAAGGCCCUAGGGUUGUAAAGCUCUUUCACCGGUGAAGAUAAUGACGGUAACCGGAGAAGAAGCCCCGGCUAACUUCGUGCCAGCCGCCGCCGUAAUAC